rnacentral:rRNA from 1 species
GAUGAACGCUGGCGGUAUGCUUAACACAUGCCAGUCGAACGGACUCUUCGGAGUUAGUGGCGGACGGGUGAGUAACGCGUGAGAAUCUGGCUUUGGGUUCGGGACAACCACUGGAAACGGUGGCUAAUACCGGAUGUGCCGAGAGGUAAAAGAGAAAUUGCCUGAAGAUGAGCUCGCGUCUGAUUAGCUAGUUGGUAAGGUAAAGGCUCACCAAGGCAGCGAUCAGUAGCUGGUCUGAGAGGAUGACCAGCCACACUGGGACUGAGACACGGCCCAGACUCCUACGGGAGGCAGCAGUGGGGAAUUUUCCGCAAUGGGCGAAAGCCUGACGGAGCAAUACCGCGUGAGGGAAGAAGGCUCUUGGGUUGUAAACCUCUUUUCUUAGGGAAGAACAAAAUGACGGUACCUAAGGAAUCAGCAUCGGCUAACUCCGUG